rnacentral:lncRNA from 1 species
GUGGUUUAGGUCUAGCUUAGGGAUCAAAAUUCUUACCUUAAAUAAUCAAAAUUCUUACUGAAAUCAAUUCAAUCUUCUUUCUUUUUCAACUGUCAGCAAUUUCUGCAAUAUUUUACUUUUAAUUUAGAUUCACCUCUUUCUUGCUGAAUUUCUUUUAAUUUCUAAUUGAAAAUCAGACCCUCACCUGCUCCUCUCCCUCUCCAUUCUUUCAAACUAACAAAACAAUUAAAAUUA